rnacentral:rRNA from 1 species
CGGGGAAUCUUGCGCAAUGGGCGAAAGCCUGACGCAGCGACGCCGCGUGGGGGAAGAAGGCCUUCGGGUUGUAAACCCCUUUUGCCAGGGAAGAGGAAGGACGGUACCUGGCGAAAAAGCCCCGGCUAACUACGUGCCAGCAGCCGCGGUAAUACGUAGGGGGCAAGCGUUACCCGGAUUCACUGGGCGUAAAGGGCAUGUAGGCGGCCUGGUACGUCCUCGGUGCAAGCUCUCGGCUCAACUGAGAGAGGUCCGAGGAUACGGCCAGGCUAGAGGGCAGUAGAGGCGAGCGGAAUUCCUGGUGUAGCGGUGAUAUGCGUAGAGAUCAGGAGGAAUACCAGAGGCGAAAGCGGCUCGCUGGGCUGUCCCUGACGCUGAGGUGCGAGAGCGUGGGGAGCAAACCGG